UAUAAGUACACGCCUUCACAAGGUGAAACCGCGAACGGCUCAUUACAACAGCUAUAAUCUACUCGGUCUUGAACAGUUACUCGGAUAACUGUGGUAAUUCUAGAGCUAAUACGUGCACCGAGGCUGUCCCUCGCGGGACAGUGCAUUUGUUGGAGCAAAACCAGGCGGCUUCGGCCGUUAUUGCUGACUCAGAACAACUCAGCUGAUCGCAUGGGCUUGUCCCGGCGACGUACCGUCCGAGUGUCUGCCUUAUCAACUUUCGAUGGUAGUGUAUGUGACUACCAUGGUUGUGACGGGUAACGGAGGAUAAGGGUUCGACUCCGGAGAAGGGGCCUGAGAAAUGGCCACUACGUCUAAGGAUGGCAGCAGGCGCGCAAAUUACCCACUCUCGGUUCGAGGAGGUAGUGACGAAAAAUAACAAGGCUGUUCUCUACGAGGCCAGCCAUUGGAAUGGGUACAACACAAACCCUUUAACGAGUAUCAAUGAGAGGGCAAGUCUGGUGCCAGCAGCCGCGGUAAUUCCAGCUCUCAAAAUGCAUAGAACCAUUGCUGCGGUUAAAAAGCUCGUAGUUGGAUCUGUGCCGGCGACGUGGUCCACCCUAACGGGCGGUACUGCGCUCGUCGGCUUUGGGCCGGUCUUCGUGCGGUGGCCUUAACUGGUCGCCGUCCGUGGCUGGCUGGUUUACUUUGAGCAAAUCAGAGUGCUCAGCACAGGCGUUUCGCCGGAAUGUUCGUGCAUGGAAUAAUAGAAAAGGAUUUCGGUCUUCUUUUAUUGGUUUUGUGGACUGAGAUAAUGGUUAACAGAGACGAACGGGGGCAUUCGUAUUGCUGCGUGAGAGGUGAAAUUCUUGGACCGCAGCAGGACGGACUACAGCGAAAGCAUUUGCCAAGCGCGUCUUCAUUAAUCAAGAACGAAAGUCAGAGGUUCGAAGGCGAUCAGAUACCGCCCUAGUUCUGACCGUAAACGAUGCCAACUAGCGAUCCGACGGUGGCUCUUAGGCCCUGUUGGGGAGCUUCCCGGAAACGAAAGUCUUCCGGUUCCGGGGGAAGUAUGGUUGCAAAGCUGAAACUUAAAGGAAUUGACGGAAGGGCACCACCAGGAGUGGAGCCUGCGGCUUAAUUUGACUCAACACGGGAAAACUCACCCGGCCCGGACACCGUGAGGAUUGACAGAUUGAUAGCUUUUUCAUGAUUCGGUGGUUGGUGGUGCAUGGCCGUUCUUAGUUCGUGGAUCGAUUUGUCUGGUUUAUUCCGAUAACGAGCGAGACUCCAGCCUACUAACUAGUGCGGGCAUUGUCUCUGUGCUUGUCACUUCUUAGAGGGAUUGGCUGCGCCUAGCGGCACGAAACGGAGCAAUAACAGGUCUGUGAUGCCCUUAGAUGUCCGGGGCUGCACGCGCGCUACACUGGCAAAGGCAGCGUGCUUGUCCGCCUCCGAAAGGAGCCGGUAAACCCUUGAAAAUUUGCCGUGAUUGGGAUCGGAAAUUGCAAUUAUUUUCCGUGAACGAGGAAUUCCUAGUAAGUGCGAGUCAUCAGCUCGCGUUGAUUACGUCCCUGCCCUUUGUACACACCGCCCGUCGCUGCCUAGAACUGAGCCAUUUCGAGAAUAUUCGGGAUCGCUGGUUUCGGGUCCUUCGGGGCACGACUCUGGCAAGAGAACGAACGUAAUCGCAGUGGCUUGAACCGGGCAAAAGU
rnacentral:rRNA from 1 species